AUCAGAGAGGUUCUCCAUCUUUUCUCCGUUGGCUCAUCUAAUGAAGAUUCCAUCCACAUCCAUUCAGCCUUCUCCUCAUACACCCCUUUCAAGCUCUACUUCUUUGACAAUUUCUAUGCUCCAUCAUUCAUGUGCAACAAAGCCUAGAGGAGAAGUUAUUGUCAUCUCCUAUUUCCAGAAAUACCUUCAAAUUCCAGGUGAUGAAGUGUGGGCCAUGUCUUUUAAGGAAACUUCCUAAUUCUUCAGUAGUGUGUGGCUAUGUAAACCUACAUUCAAAUAAAAAUUAAAAAGGAGUUGCAGUUAACAGAG